CUCUUUCCGAAGUUUACCAUGCAGUCGAACGGAGAGAGGUAGCUUGCUGCUGAUCUUAUGGGCGGAGGGGUGAGUAAUGCUUAUGAAUCUGCCUAUUACUGUGGGACAACAUUUCCAAAGGAAUGCUUAUACCGCAUACGUCCUACAGCAGAAAGCAGGGGAGCUUCAGACCUUGGGCUCAUACAUGAACCUAAGUCGAAUUACCUAUAUGUAGGUGUAAAGGCCUAGCAAGGCCACGAUCUGUAUCGGGUCUGAGACGAAGAUCCGCCACACUGGGACUGAAACUCAGACCAGACUCCUACUCCAGGCAGCAGUGGGGAAUAUUGAACAAGGAGCGCAAGCCUGAUCCAGACCUGCCCCGUGUGUGAGGAAGGCCUUAUGCUUGUAAAGCACUUUACCCUAUGAUGAGGCUACUUUACUUACUACCUAUAGAUAGUGGACGUUACUCGCACAAUAAACACCGGCUAACUCUGUGCCAGCACCCGCGCCAAUACAAAAGGAGCAAGCGUUACUCUAAUUUACUGUACUGAAAGCGCGCGUAGGCGACUAAUUAAUUCAAAUGUGAAAUCCCCGACCUGAACUUGGGAAGUGCAUUCCAUACUGGUUAGCUACAGUGUGGUAGAGGAUGGUAAAAUUCCAGGUGUAGCGUUGAAAUGCGUAGAGAUCUGAACGAAUACCGAUGGCGAAGGCAACCAUCUGUCCUAACACUGACGCUGAGGUGCGAAAGCAUGGCGAGCAAACAGGAUUAGAUACCCUGGUAUGCCAUGCCGUACACUAUGUCUACUAGACGGUGGGGCCUUUGAGGCUUGAGUGCCGCAGCUAACGCGAUAACGAUACCGCCUGCGGAGUACGGUCGCGAGACUAAAACUCAAAUGAAUUGACGUUGACGCGCACAAGCGGAGGAGCAUGUGGAUGUAGUUCGAUGCAACUGCGAACGAAGCAUUACCUGUACCUGACAUAGUCAUCAACUGUACAUUAUGCUGGAUUGGUGUCGUUCGCGUACUUACAUACAGGAUGCUGCAUGGGCUGUCGUCAGCUCGUGUCGUGAGCAUGUUGGGUUAAGUCUCAGCU
rnacentral:rRNA from 1 species